UGUUUGUUUGCAAGAACAGCCUUUAGCCUCAUUUUGCAAUGAAAUACCAUCUAUUUGUGAAGGCUCUGAUGAUGUUCUUUUAAGGAAUUUUAUAAAACAGCAGACUGAAUUGAUCUCGCUUCUGCAAUGCCAGAACAAAAUAUUACUGAAAGAACUUACAGCAACCAAAAAAAAA